rnacentral:tRNA from 1 species
GCCUUCGUAGCUCAACCGGCUAGAGCAUAAGACUCUUAAUCUUGGGGUUGCGGGUUCGAGUCCCGCCGGAGGCUUCA